CCACCUGCACAAGCAGGUAUCGCAGCGUGAAUACAUAGCGUUGCGAGGCGAACCGGGGGAACUGAAACAUCUAAGUACCCCGAGGAACAGAAAUCAACCGAGAUUCCGGCAGUAGCGGCGAGCGAAACCGGAUUAGCCCUUAAGCUAGAUUGGCGUUAGACGAACAGGCUGGAAAGCCUGGCAAGAAAGGGUGAUAGCCCCGUAGUCGACAGCGCCUUUACAGUGAAAUCGAGUAGGACGGGACACGUGAUAUCCUGUCUGAACAUGGGGGGACCAUCCUCCAAGGCUAAAUACUCCUGACUGACCGAUAGUGAACCAGUACCGUGAGGGAAAGGCGAAAAGAACCCCUGUGAGGGGAGUGAAAUAGAA
rnacentral:rRNA from 1 species